AAACACACUACGACGUUAAACCAAAGCUUAUUUGGAUCAACUGGCUCAUGUCCAGCCGCUGCAGUUACGCCCGAACUAUCUAACACCGUGGCCCAAAGACCCGCCGCCGUGGACGGGAUUCGAGUCUGCACCCGGGCUCAGCACCGCAACGACAAAGCCACCAGCCACCGCCGCGGGCAAUAGGGUUUCCAAAGAGCGAAGUCGUGCACUUCCGGUUCACCUCCUGAGACGACCGGGAAGGAAAUUCAAAAUCAA